rnacentral:rRNA from 1 species
GUGGGGAAUAUUGGACAAUGGGCGAAAGCCUGAUCCAGCCAUGCCGCGUGUGUGAAGAAGGUCUUCGGAUUGUAAAGCACUUUAAGUUGGGAGGAAGGGUUGUACGUUAAUACCGUGCAAUUUUGACGUUACCGACAGAAUAAGCACCGGCUAACUUCGUGCCAGCAGCCGCGGUAAUACGAAGGGUGCAAGCGUUAAUCGGAAUUACUGGGCGUAAAGCGCGCGUAGGUGGUUUUGUAAGUUGGAGGUGAAAUCCCCGGGCUCAACCUGGGAACUGCCUCAAAAACUGCAGGACUAGAGUACGGUAGAGGGUAGUGGAAUUUCCUGUGUAGCGGUGAAAUGCGUAGAUAUAGGAAGGAACACCAGUGGCGAAGGCGACUACCUGGACUGAUACUGACACUGAGGUGCGAAAGCGUGGGGAGCAAACAGGAUUAGAAACCCUAGUAGUCC